CUCAAAUCCUCAGGAGAUGGGUUGACUAAGGCUAUGGGUUUUCACUUAUCCGUGCAAAGGAGCAUGGCAAAAUAGAUUUCCUUGGCCCUGCACAUGCUUUACAUCCCUGUUCCAGGGCAACUCAAACUGUGACAGAAGGAGCUUCCAAAGGCACUGUGGUGGUCUAGUUUGCUGUAACCUAAGAAGUCAUCCUCUGCAGCUCUCUGCCCACAGCUCUCUGCCGGAGGUUUCCUCCCCAGCAGCAGUGGUGGCAACAGAAAGACACAGUCCCCUCUUUGCUCCCUGAAACUCCAUCAGCUUCACUGAGACGUAGACUUGGACUGCAACCCAAGAACGAAAGCCGUGGCUUGGAUCUAUAUCUGAGCAACUUCACUGAGUAUGAAUGUUAAUGAAAGACCACAUUCCUCUCUUCCUCCAAAGACUGAGUCCUUUAUUCAGAGGGACAUAAUGAUGGAGAUAAUGGCUGGGUCAUCGAUACCACCCUCUCUUCUUUCUAAAGGAAAUGGAAGUUACUUUCCUGUGUCCUGGUGAAUGCAGUUUUGACAACACAUCAGUUAAAAAAACAAUUGGAUGGGAUGAAAAAAGGACCGAACACAUAUCACGUUUCUGGGCUCCUCCUCUGCAGGAUGAUGAUUCUGGGCCUGGAGGCAUUCACAACCAUACGCACUCCUGCCGUUGAUGCCUUCUGAACACACUCCUAUCCAUUCCAACUCUCCUCUUCAAAUCUUUAGGUACACAGUUUUGUAAGGACACAACUGAGAAUGUUUUGUUUAAUUUAAGAGAAUUGUGACUGGGAAGGACUUUGCCAACCUAACCCUGAAAUCUAAUCCUGCUACCUUCUCUGGUGAGCAUUGGAAGCUCAGGCUGAGUCGAGCUGCUCUGUUGGAAGCUAUGCAUUAUUGCCAUGAGAGCCACAGCGGCACACCCCACUCGGCCUCCUGGGGCUUCAGCACGAAAUGCUCUGCAGUCACAUCCACACAAAUGGCUCUGCAUGCAUGUGCAGCCUCAGCUCUUCAGGCUGUGGCUGGAUCCUGUUCUAGUUUGGGUAAGUGCCCUCCUACACUGAGGGAAGAGAUGCAUUUACCCAUCUGGUGAUUUUAUGGCAACAUUAAUUGACCAAAAGUAUAAUUAUGCAUUUGCUAUUAUGCACACGGCAGUCAGUCACAAUUAUUUACCAAGAUGCCUAAGGUGAUUAAAAAAGACAAACUAUGACAUGUGGGAAGUCCUAAGCUGCCACGUCAUCCAAAUGUGCAGAAAACAACACAUUCCUAGUAGGAACUCACAAGUAAAGUUACUCGUGUUUUCACUUACCCAAGAAAGCUACUGACUGAGGGGUUCAUCAGUACUGCUUUCAGGGAGUGCAAAAACAUGGGAAUAGUCACAGUGAAUUAGUCUGGAAAGUGGGGAAGCACACUGCAACACGUUCUGGAGUAUUUUCCCAUCUGAGUUAACAAGGCUGGGUGUGGAAUAUGGCAGAAUAUGGAAUAUGGAGCCCUCACCUUUGUCACAAGGGGUCUCUCAUGUAAGGAGUUGCGUUGGACUUUUUCUUCCCUAGAUCACUUUCGAACUCUGGAUUGAAUACAAACAUUAGUUGUCUAUCAUUGAAAAGCACGUAUCAAGCCUGAAGAAACUCCUGAAACCUUCAAAGCUAACAACUCUGAUGAGAGAGG
ensembl:lncRNA